GGGGGUAUAGCUCAGUGGUAGAGCACGUGCUUGGCAUGCAUUCAAUCCCCAGUGCCCCUA
rnacentral:tRNA from 1 species